GUUUCCCUCAUCCAUUUCUUCACCAUUUCUGCACCAAAUUUCAAAGGAACUUCAAAGGGAAGAAGGCUGAGAAAGGAAGAAGAAGAAGUUCAAGAAGUGUUUGUUGAAGAAGUUCAAGAAGUGUUUGUUGAAGAAGUUCAACUUCUCUAUAGUUCACUAAACACAUCUCUGGUUUUUUAUUGAUUCCAAGCUAAACAAACAGAAUUAAGAGGGACAAAUUAAAGGGGUCGUGGUGUACGCGAUUGUUGGAGUGGUUCGGUUUCGAGGGAUAUCUGAGAUUAUACAUAGGGAAUCAGAAUUUCAUGUCUUCAGGUCCCACAACCCGAUUCUAAGUCUGGAGAAUAACGGUUCAACACUAGUGGUGGUCCCAGAUUCGUGAUCAUGAGAAGGUUUGAAGAAGUCAGGAAAAGCUUCAAUGGUAAGAUUUUCUUUUGACCCUAACUAGUGUAAUUGGGGUAGUAUUUAGUA